GCUAAGCCCUAAACAUUGAUAGCUAUUUUACAACGCUAUCCGCCAGAGAACUACAAGUGAAAUACUUGAAACUCAAAGGACUUGACGGUGUCCCAUAUCGACCUAGAGGAGCCUGUCCUAUAAUCGAUACCCCUCGUUCCACCCAACCCCAACUAGCCCCCAAUUCAGCCUAUAUACCGCCGUCGACAGUCUACCCUAUGAAGGUCCAAUAGUAGAUACAACAGCCCCUAACGCUAAUACGACAGGUCAAGGUGUAGCAAAUGCUGGGGAAGAGAUUGGCUACAUUUUUUAUAAUUAAAAAACACGAAAUGCAUUAUGAAACACUGCAUGAAGGUGAAUUUAGUAGUAAAAUAAAUAAGAGUGUUUAUUUUAACAGCGCUCUGGGACGCGUACACACCGCCCGUCACCCUCCUCGAUAUUACACACAACCCUACAUAAAUAGCUUAAACAUUUAACAGAGGAGGU
rnacentral:rRNA from 1 species